UAUAUUACUCAUAGUUAUUAUAUUGUGUAAUCAUCACAAUGUUUUGUAAUGUUUCACAAUCCCAGAUUCCACAAUGACAUCAUUUGACAUCAUUCGGCAUACAGCGCUAAACCCUGUUGCCAUGGUUACCAAACACAGACACACCACAGCUGUUGAUUUCUGGAUUGUGAUCGGUCAGAAGGUGGUGAUUAAUUGUCUGUAACAGUGGCUCUGACGGUAACGCAGCUGCAAAUCACAGAGAUGUUUAUGUAAUGUUUAUGGAAGGAGUCUCUAGUGUCAGCGCUUUGUAACAGUCAGAGGUGAAGCUGUGACUUCAGGACAGAGGAUUUUACGCUUCUUUGCGGUUUCUCGUGCCGUGGUUCCCUGAGCUCAGUCUCGCUCAGAUAGACACACCAGGUGAGCAUCUAACUCUGCCUCAGAGAGAAUCCUGAAACACACACAGACAAAAAUAUAUUAAAUAUAAACAUGAACAAACUUCAUUUCGACUCAUAAGAACCUGAGGAAUAAUUUACAGGGAGAAAUCAAUAUCAUCUAAAUAGUUUGAGAAAUGAAUUAUCAAAAAAAAACCCCGAAACUUUAAAAGUUUCGUGAUUGCAUAAGUAUUCACCCCCUGUUGGUGGGUUGUGAUCUGCUUUUCACAACCUGGAAAUGCCACUUAAAACAAAUUUGGGGUUCGGAAGAGUGUCGAGUCAUAAGAAAUCCCAUUUGGAGUUUAGCCAGAAGACCUAGAGGAGACUCCAAACACACGCAGGAAAUGGUUCUCUGGCUUGGUGAGACCAACACUGAACUUUAAGGUCUUUGUAAUAAAAAGAGUUUUACAUACACUGCUCAUCACGCUGACACAAACACCACAUCCACUGUGAAGCAGACCUUGUCUGGAACAUCACCCCCCUACCUCAACUCUCUCCUGAAGGCUUACGUUCACUCACGCAAUCUGCGAUUGAUUAACGACCAACGUUUAGUAGUGCCUACUCAGCGUGGCUCAAGGUCCCUUUCCAGAACCAUCACACUAACCGUCCCUCAGUGGUGGAGUGAUCUUCCAACCUCAAUCUGGACCACAGAAUCUGUCACUAUCUUCAAAAAACAGCUAAAGACCCACCUCUUCCCUGAACACUUAACUAACCCCUACAAUACCAACCCCACAUUACCCUCAGAAAGAAAGAAAAAAAAAGGAACCUUACUC